rnacentral:rRNA from 1 species
CCCUUAGAUGUUCUGGGCCGCACGCGCGCUACACCGAUGCAUUCAACGAGUCUAAAACCUGGUCUGAUAGGGCUGGGUAAUCUUUUGAAUGUGCAUCGUGAUUGGGAUAGAUGAUUGCAAUUCUUCAUCUUCAACGAGGAAUGCCUAGUAAACGCAAGUCAUCAGCUUGCAUUGAUUACGUCCCUGCCCUUUGUACACACCGCCCGUCGCUCCUACCGAUUGAAUGUUCCGAUGAAUACCAUGGACUGAGAGUAUGAAUGGGUUCGCCUAUUUCUGCUUCUCGGGAAGUGGAGUAAAUCUUAACAUUUAGAGGAAGGAGAAGUCGUAACA